AGUCCUGUAGCUCAGUGGUUAGAGCACUCGCCUACCAAGCGGGAGACCUGGGUUUGAUUCUCAGCAGGGCAA
rnacentral:tRNA from 1 species